rnacentral:rRNA from 1 species
GACGAACGCUGGCGGCGUGCUUAACACAUGCAAGUCGAACGGUGAAGCCCUUCGGGGUGGAUCAGUGGCGAACGGGUGAGUAACACGUGAGCAACCUGCCCCUGGCUCUGGGACAACCACUGGAAACGGUGGCUAAUACCGGAUACGACCCGCCUCGGCAUCGAGUGUGGGUGGAAAGUUUUUCGGCUGGGGAUGGGCUCGCGGCCUAUCAGCUUGUUGGUGAGGUGAAGGCUCACCAAGGCGACGACGGGUAGCCGGCCUGAGAGGGCGACCGGCCACACUGGGACUGAGACACGGCCCAGACUCCUACGGGAGGCAGCAGUGGGGAAUAUUGCACAAUGGGCGAAAGCCUGAUGCAGCGACGCCGCGUGAGGGAUGACGGCCUUCGGGGUGUAAACCUCUUUCAGCUCCGAAGAAGCGAAAGUGACGGUAGGAGCAGAAGAAGCACCGGCUAACUACG